rnacentral:rRNA from 1 species
AUGAACGCUGGCGGCGUGCCUAAUACAUGCAAGUCGAGCGAACAGACGAGGAGCUUGCUCCUCUGACGUUAGCGGCGGACGGGUGAGUAACACGUGGAUAACCUACCUAUAAGACUGGGAUAACUUCGGGAAACCGGAGCUAAUACCGGAUAAUAUAUUGAACCGCAUGGUUCAAUAGUGAAAGACGGUUUUGCUGUCACUUAUAGAUGGAUCCGCGCCGCAUUAGCUAGUUGGUAAGGUAACGGCUUACCAAGGCAACGAUGCGUAGCCGACCUGAGAGGGUGAUCGGCCACACUGGAACUGAGACACGGUCCAGACUCCUACGGGAGGCAGCAGUAUGGAAGCUUCCGCAAUGGGCGAAAGCUUGACGGAGCAACGCCGCGUGAGUGAUGAAGGUCUUCGGAUCGUAAAGCUCUGUUAUUAGGGAAGAACAAAUGUGUAAGUAACUAUGCACGUCUUGACGGUACCUAAUCAGAAAGCCACGGCUAACUACGUG